AAAGAUGUUUCAUAAAACUAAAUUUUAUGAAACAAGUUUCAUGGUGUAUGACAGGUUCUCUCUGCCUUCUAAUGCUUCUUUUUGACAUUAUAUACAUCGCACAUGGGUGAAAUCAAUUAUAAGAACGACCUGGGGACUUUACCCCAGGUCGUAAAAACCAAAGCCAUGUUGGACCCUCAAGUUAGACAGAUGCACAAAAAUUUCUGCAGUGUGUGUGUGUGUGUUAUAUCAAUGAUCAUACUAAACAGGAUCAUAAUAAAAAAUAUAAACCUGACCAUAUUAAAGGAAUGAUGUGAUCGUAUGUGUGUGUGUGUGUGUGUGGUAAUUAAUUUAAAUAAAAUAGGACUGAGAGUACAUAAAAUAAAUGAAAAUUGACACACCAACUGUUUUAUAAAGAAAGGUAAGAGGAAUGUUUUAAGUUUACUUAAGAAACAAAGUGAGACAACAUAGCAGGUACAAAAGGAAAUGCAACAAUGCAAAUUGGGAUUUAGGAUUCCAAAAAUAUCUUAAUGAUGCCAGACACAUAAUUAAGCUUCAAAAUCAAUAGCUGUCAUGGUAUAUAACAACAAUAGCUAUCAAUUCUAUCAUGGUAUGGUAAUUAAUACUUAUCAUAUUACCAUAUUUUCUUAAAUAAAAGCCAGGUCAUCUAUUUCUUAAUGGCAUUUGGACCUCAGAAAAAAUUUAAGAAAUAAAAUUAUUUGUUUAUAAAAGUAUCUGUUUUGGUAUUCGUUUUUCUUUUGUUCGGAUUUGAUAUGCAUUUUUUUGUGUUUUAGUAUAAAUAUGAUGCAUGGCUUUUCAUGUGCUAGUGUCACUACCGGAAGUGCUAUAUAAACAAAUGGGAGUAUGCGUCAACAGGGAUAUAAUAGACUACAUAACUGGGAUUGGCAACGGGAUCACGUGAGCACAUCAUUUGUGUAUAAAAACUUUUUGCAGUCUCUGUUAUCAUUUUCAAGAUGGCGGCUCUCAAUGACUGGAGUAUGAAGUUGCCCUUUUUUCUUUUAUAAAUGUAUUUAGCUUUAUGAAAAAUCUACUGCAAAGUUAUAAUAGCGAAUUCAAGGUUCUGAUAGGUUAUUGCAACUUCUCUUGUUUCUCCAGAGUGUUUUAGGAAAUAUUCAAGAAAAACCAUUUUGCCAUAGUAUGACUUUUGCGUACCUCUCAGCGGAAUAGACUACAUUCUAUUGCUAUGAAACUACAAUAAAGAGACCCUUUACAUGUUUUUACAUUGUUUAAAGUUGUUUUUGAAUUUUCCUUGUUGCUGGUUUUUUACUUAUAACAAUAUUACAUUCAGCCAUUUUGCUAAGAUGCCAUUGAUUGCUGC